rnacentral:lncRNA from 1 species
AUGCCGCCAGGCUACUUGGGCAUCCCGAUCGCCCACUUCGAGGCCACGCGACACUCGGCGCGCAGGCCGCCUGACCACACCGUGGCUCCGCAGCGCUCGCGCAUGGUGGCGCGCCCCACGGAGGCCAGGCCCCAGGCCCCAACACGCCGUGGCACAAGCCGGGCGAGGCCGACCCGCGCCUGGCGCCCUACCAGGCCCAGGGCUUCUCCGCUGAGUAGGACGCUGCCUAGGAAACGCGGGUUUCCGUGCGCCCCACUGGGCGCCGCCCUCUCGAGUGUCUACCUUCUCCCGCCGCCCCGCAGAGGACAAGCAGGUGUCCGCCUUGUGAGCCGCGCCCGGGAGAGCAGGGAGAGCCGGGAGAGCCGCCCUCCAGAGCCGCGCCCGCAGGGACCCGGCCUCCCCGCCCCGGCAGCACGGGCUGACUGACCCCUUCCAUGUGACAGCUGUGAAGAAACGCCUGGCACUUUGCAGACCCCGCGGCCCGGAGCUGCGCAGGUCUCGGCUCCCCGCACGCGUGGGACGCCGAGGCCGCCUGGCCGCGGCGCCGCCUGAGCUUCCUGGUCCCGCGCUCCGUCCGGGCCCAGGAGCGCGCGGACUUGCGGGCUGGACAGGCACCGUGCUGGUCCACGUGUCUGCAGAGCUCCUUUCAGAGCCAGCUUGAAGGCCGCGUUCGGAGAGUGGACGCGGAGCC